rnacentral:rRNA from 1 species
CAGCCGCCGCGGUAAUACCGGCGGCCCGAGUGGCGGCCACGAUUAUUGGGCUUAAAGCGUCCGUAGCCGGGUUGGUUAGUCUCCCGGGAAAUCUGGCCGCUUAACGGUCAGAAUUCCGGGAGAUACUGCCAGCCUAGGGACCGGGAGAGGCCGAGGGUAUUCCCGGAGUAGGGGUGAAAUCCUAUAAUCCCGGGAGGACCACCUGUGGCGAAGGCGCUCGGCUGGAACGGGUCCGACGGUGAGGGACGAAGGCCAGGGGAGCAAACCGGAUUAGAUACCCGGGUAGUCCUGGCUGUAAACGAUGCGGACUUUGUGUCGGACAAGCUAUGAGCUUGUCCGGUGCCGGAGGGAAACCGUUAAGUCCGCCGCCUGGGGAGUACGGCCGCAAGGCUGAAACUUAAAGGAAUUGGCGGG